GAUGAGCGUCGGUGGAAGACCAAACUAACCAAAGCCAGCGUUUCAGUUUACUUCCAGCCUCAUGACAAACAGUGUGAGUUGGAUAUGAAACUGCUCUGCUGGGGUAGUGGGGAGCUCGGCCAGACUGGACAUGGCAGACCAAGGGACAUUGGUCCAGAAGAAGCCCAUCUGAAAGAGUUCACAAUGGCAAGGCUGGGCAGAGUGAAGCUACUGGCAUGUGGAUCAAGUCACUCCAUUGUGGUUACAGGUCGUCGAGGUCACCAUGGCCCCGGAAGCAUCAAGCUUCGAAAAUGAGAAGCCCCGCUCAGCUCUCCCGCUGGCGACCGGGAGCACCCCUUGCCCGCGCCCGCCCUGAUGAUUAAUGCCAC